GACGAACGCUGGCGGCGUGCUUAACACAUGCAAGUCGAACGGAAAGGCCCGGCUUUUGUGGGGUGCUCGAGUGGCGAACGGGUGAGUAACACGUGAGUAACCUGCCCUUGACUUUGGGAUAACUUCAGGAAACUGGGGCUAAUACCGGAUAGGAGCUCCUGCUGCAUGGUGGGGGUUGGAAAGUUUCGGCGGUUGGGGAUGGACUCGCGGCUUAUCAGCUUGUUGGUGGGGUAGUGGCUUACCAAGGCUUUGACGGGUAGCCGGCCUGAGAGGGUGACCGGCCACAUUGGGACUGCGAUACGGCCCAGACUCCUACGGGAGGCAGCAGUGGGGAAUAUUGCACAAUGGGCGGAAGCCUGAUGCAGCAACGCCGCGUGCGGGAUGACGGCCUUCUGGUUGUAAACCGCUUUCGCCUGUGACGAAGCGUGAGUGACGGUAAUGGGUAAAGAAGCACCGGCUAACUACGUG
rnacentral:rRNA from 1 species